rnacentral:lncRNA from 1 species
GAGUGCAAGGGUAGAAUUAGAUAGAAAAUUACCCCAACAAUAGAAAAGACAAAAACAGAAGCAAACCAAAAACUAUAUACAAUGGAACCCUUCCAAAACCUGGAAAUCACGAGUACAAACUUGUCUAGUAUGAACAAAUAUAAGUCUCAAAAGUGGACCACAACAAGCCUUCUCAAAGGCAAAAGACUAGCUAACAUAUAUACAGAAUGAGACACACUGAUCUAGGACGCCAAAUGCUCACCUUCGUCUCUGAUAUCCACAAGCUACAAAAGAUGGCACGAACGAUCACUGCUCGUAGCUGGUACUAGGUCCUGCAUUACGAAUGAUGCAAGAUGUAUCAUAAGUAUCAAAUCAAAGGUACUCAGUAGGCAUCAUAGGCCGACUAAGCAAGAAAGGUAAAGCAUUCAGAAACAAUAGAAUCUAGACACAAAAAGAGGUUAGAGCGGAUAUGGAAAGGAAGAACACGAGCAUACCGAAAGUAAAUCUAAGUACAACUCAAUUAAACCUAACUGGACCCCAAUAAACCUAGAGAGGUACACAUAAUGGCUAAGACUACAAGAAUGAAGAGUAACUCAAAUCUGAAUCUAAGAACAUUAGCCGGACUCCCAGCCCAAGCAACCAUGAAACUAAGAACCAUUUAACUCCCAAUCCAGCUAGCAAGAAUGACAAUCAACCAAGGCCACCCAACUAGCAAGAGUGACAAUCAACUCAUGCCGCCCAACCAGACAGUCCACUCCUAGGAGUGUAAGCCACCCAGCUAGCAAGAGUGACCCAGGUGUGUGUCGACUCUAUAGAAGAUCUCAGAUAUCAAGGUCUCCCAGCCAGCCAGUCCACUCCCAAGGGCGUAAGCCGCCUAUCUAGCAAGAAUUACCCCGGGGCAUGUCGACUCUGAAGAGGAUCUCAGGUAGGAUCCAAGCCACCAUGGAUCAUCCACUCCCAAAGAUAUCACAAAAGGCUCCAAUCUUGAAGGACUUCGAUCCCGAUCGAGAAAGCACAUAACCUCCGGUAAUGCAUCGGAGUCACAGAAAUAGAGAGUGAAGACAGAAAGGGCUAACAAGCUACAUAAACACUUAAACUAAGGCUAAUAAUAUCAGACCCGGGUCUACUAUUUCAGUCUACAAGGACCUGGCCCAUCCAAAACAACGUUGGAGACAUAUAAAGCUACAAGGCUCAUGAGUCUAAGGCAUCACUAGUCUAUCACUGGCUAAGGCCGAACAUGCUUCAGAAAAUAAGUAAUAACACAAGUAAAUCACAUAACAUGCUACAACACAGAUACAACCCUAACUAACAUGGUACAACCCUCGAAACAGUGGCAGUAAAUCUUAAAACAUGGUGUCGAGGAAGGAAAGCAAGAAUAAUUAGGUACCCACUGCCAAUUCACACUAAUCAUCAUGAAUUCACACAUUCAUGCUCAAUCAAAUUAGAAAGGAAAUCGUAGUCUACCUGUAGACCAACUGCGCGUGCUCCAAAUCACAAGGCCGGAGCUUUUUUCCUUUUUGAAUAGCCUCUGAAUGUUGCGAUGCUAUAAAGAAUAGAAUCACAACGUUAGUAUAAUCAUUUAGACACUAAAAUAACAUAAAAUGGUUAUGACCAAUUUUAGAGUCAAACAUGAAUUGUGGGACCACACCAAAUUUCUUGGAAGACUCCGUCAAGAGGCCAUAAACUAUGCCUCAAACUUGUGUUCAAAAAUUGAACACAAUUCAAGGCCUAAAACAGCCAACACAACAACAAGUAAAGAAAUCCCAAAAAUAAGCUCAAACAAAGGAAGGGAAGCACCUUCAACACCAAAAUUACCUCAAACGGAGGUUCCUCAACAAAACCCAAUCACUCCACUACGUAACCACACUUCCAACAAACACACAGGACUUUAAAUCACCAAAAUCCGACUCAAAACCAAGGAGAAAUCGCCAAAUGAACUUUGGAACCAAGGCUGGUUUGCAAAUGGUCUUAAUUAAAAGGCCAGGCGACUAGACCUCGGGAAUGAAAAGGGGCCCGCGUGAACGCACCUAGCUGGACCAACUGCCAAACGUGAAUAUGGCAGCCUGUCACAAACACGCCUGCGAACGCGCUUUCCAGGGUGCUAGCCGUCAACGAAUGUGGCCCUAGGCAUGUGAACGCGGGGCAGGCCCUGCGCUGCACCAGCUAUCAGCUGAUGUGCUGACGCACCAAAACUUUGACGGGGUGCCCAGGAUUCAUUCGGAACACCGGGUGCAUAAAUGAAAUAUGCUACCCCAUCGACUUCAGCAUUCCGGACUCAAUAGAACCAUCAAGACUUCCAUUCGAGAUCGUUUCGAUGAAAAGUGGGUCCCACACCCAAGUUCCAUUUCAAGCAAAAAUCUACAAGGGGUUCAAAAUUAACCCGGAAGCCUCGGGAUCUAAACGAAGGAUUGUUCUAGACCAAACUCAACAUUUUGAAGCUAACCACGCUGGCAGAAGUCUCAUAUGAGCUCUUUAACCAGAAUGUUGACUGAAGUCAAACUUAGGUCCUAACUUGAAAGUUAAAAUGACUAAUCGCACAAACUCACACUAAAAGUCUCAAGAAUCGUGCCAACUAUGCUACUAACCUAAAAGGACCCUUCCGUAGCUGAUAAAAUGACAGAAUUGGAUCCAAAGGUCAUCUUCUUGAACUUAUGUCAAAAAAAGACUAUUCAAGGUUCAGAAGCUCCAAAAUGCUAAAACUCACAUAAAAACUGAACGAACGACCACGUGACCGAACUAUCAGUCUCAGCAAGUCAAAAAUGACUUGGGGUCGCUACAGGAAAACUCUAAACAAUGAACAUGAUGCAUAAAUACAAAAAUGACGUGGAUGUCAUUGCAAUCCCUAUUUAUUAAUUUAGACAAAGUAGUAAACUAUUUGAAAAGUAAUAAUUUAUAUGCAUUAAUGGUAAAAUAAAAGGAUGGACAAAUAAGCAUAGUAUUUUGAUAAAUUUGAGGCAAUUAGCUAGGAACCAAAGAGAAGUUGAUUUUGGCGUUGUUGUUGCACAAGAGGAUCAACAAACACAAUAGCACUUGAUAACUUAGUUGUAUCAAAAGUUGAGCCAGCAUAUUUUUCAUUAUUAGUUGUGCUAUGAGAAAAAGUCUUUUCAUGACUUGACGACAAUCUUUCAAAGAUUUUCUUUAUAAUAAAUUGAGAGUCACAUAAUAGAGGGAAAAAAAUACAAUGGUCAUGCAAUUUAAUUAUUGAGAUCGUGAAAUUGCAUGACCUUUGUAAUUUUUUCCCUCUAUUUUAUGACUCUCAAUUUAUUACCAAGACAAUCGUUGAAAAAUUGUCGUCAAGUCAUGAAAAGACUUUUUCUAAGAGCGCAACAAAUAAUGAAAAACAUGUUUGCUCAACUCUUGAUGCAACUAAGUUAUCAAGUGCUAUUAUGUCUCUUGAUCCUCUUGUGCAACAAGGGAAAAUGUAGAAGUACCUUCAUAGACUAUGACUCAAAUCUCAGAGACACACCUUAACUAAACUAAGGUUCUAUUACCUCCUGAACUCAUUUUUUUUUGUAAUUUUGUACACCUUUUUAGCUUACGUGAUAUCCAAAUAUAUCCCACGCACCUCAACUGCGUGGAGUCACGGGGUGUGCCACAUAAGGCAAAGGGUGUAUAAUAUUAUAUAUAAAAUGAGUUCAGGGGGUAAUAUAACUUUAGUGUAGUUAAGGUGUGUCUCGGAGAUUUCGGUCAUAGUGUAAGGGUACUUGGGAGAAGCAACAACACUGCCAAAAUCAACUUCUUUGUAGUUCCUUAUUGGUUCCAAAUUAUCAAAAUGUUAUGAUAAUUUGUUCAUCCUUUAAUUUUAUUUUCCAUUAAUGCAUAUAAAUUAUUACUUAUUCAAAAAAUUUACUCUUCUAUGUAAAUUAAUAGAUAGGGAUAAUGCUUAAGUAUCCAUAGAAUUAUGACGGAAAUUCCAGCAAUAUACCUUAACAUAAGUAGGAUCCUUUUAACCCCCUAUGUUAUUUUAAAAUGAAAUAAAUACACCCUAAAAGUUGGUGUGUCAUAGAGAGUGUGUACAUUCUCUUGAAUGAAAAUGAUGAGUGAAAAAAUAGACACAUGUCAUUUUUUAAUUGGUAAAUUUAUAACUAGUUAGUACACAAAAUUAUAGAUAUUAAAACUUAUAUAUAUUGAAUUAUUUUCAUUUAUUCUUUGUAAAUUAUUUAUUUUAAUUUCUUCCUCACCUAAAACUUUUUGAUUUGUUUUUUUCUUACAUUAAUUUCUUAUCUUUCCACUUUUAAUUAUUAUAAAAGAAUUGUGUACUUUUUUCAAAAAAUAAUUAAAAAGUAUCCUUUAGUUUUAACAUUUUAAUUUUUUAUGUUUUAUUUUAUUUUCUUCACUUAUUUUGAUAUCAGUUCGAAAUUAACUUAUUUUAAAUACAAGGUAUUUGGAAUUAAAUUUGAAAUCAAAUCAAAAGGAAAGACAAAGAAAAUAAAAGAGUAAAUCAUAUCAAUAGAAAAGUAAAAGAGAAAAAACAAUGAAUGAAGGUUAAAAAAAAACUUAAGAAAAAUUUAAAUACAAGGAAAACUUUUUUAAAAAUUUAUGUGUAUUAACUUAAUUUAAAUAAAAGAUGAAGAAAAUAAGAAGAUCUAAAAAAAAUUUAAAAAAUAAUAUUUUUUUUUUUAAAAGUUAAAUUAUUUUGUAAAAAUAUUUGCAAGCGUGGCAGACGCAUGUGCACAAAUACAACCAACUUACAUUAUUGAAGGUGACAUGUCAUCAUAGAAGGUGCUUGAAAAUAUGAGAAAAUGAGUUCGGGGGGAAAUAGGACCCCAGUUAACUUAUGAGAUUUCGGUCAUAGUUCAGAGGUACUUAUGCACUAUCCCUAUUUUUUGUCAAAUUCUUAAAUAGUUCCAGUAAAUCUAGCUAUUAAUCAUACAUACAUGCAAGAAUUCAGAAAUUUUACAGAGUUACCAACAACUAAAAGCGCAUCAUUAAUACUGACAAAGCACAUAUUCCAAACAUCAGGAUAGAAACUAAGCUGAUUAAGUCACAUAAGGAUCCAGAAGUUAGGAUAUGAACAAGAAAGGAAGGGGAGUAACACACACAUGUAUACAUAAGAGUAAUUUUGUUCACGGUUUGGAUAAAAAUCGAUUCAAACCGAAAAACCAAACCAAACCGAUAAAAUAAAACCGAUUUUAUUUGGGUUUGGUUUUAGAUUUUGGAAAACCGGUAGUAUUUGGUUUGGUUAUGGUUUUAUUAGAAAAAAAUUGAAGAAAUAACUGAACCGAUGAAUUAUAUACAUAUAUUUUAUUAAUAUACAUACUUAAUAUACCGAAGAAAUAACCGAACCAAACCGAUGAAUUAUAUACAUAUAUUUUAUUAAUAUACAUACUUAAUAUAUUAUUUUUAUAAACAAUUUUAAAGAUCUUAUAUAUGUUUUCAUUAAAAUUUCUUUAUACUUUACUUAUUGAAAGCAAGAAUGCCCAAGGUGAAAACAUUUAUCUUAUUGAUUUCAUGUAUAUGAGUGUCUGACAAUUCUUUGUGGGACUGAAAAUGUUAUUUUCUCUCCCUUCUAGGCCAAUAUAGUGAAUUUUAAAGCUUUAAUCAUAAUAAAUUCAGUGAUCGAAAGUUCAAUAAUUUCAGUAAUUCUCAUUAUUAUUAUUUUUGAAUGGAUUGUUGUCACUUUUUUCACAUUUUGAAUGAAUUGUUUCUUUUUAUUUUGUGUAUGGUUAACAACCGAAUAACCGAACCAAACCAAACCAAAACCGAUAACCACAAAACCGAUAAAUAUAUAUUAUAUUUGGUUUGGUUUGGUUUGGUUUUGAUAAUUUUAAAACCGAUUAAGUUGGUUUGGUUUUAGUUUUGACCAAUAAUCGAUCCAAACCGACCCGUGAACACCCCUACAUAAGAGUAUGUCCUUAGAAGGGGGUCAUUACAACUGCUUUGACAAAAUUUUUGUUGAUCUAUAUUAGCACACAAAAACUUUCACCAAAAGUCAGAGGUACAACGUCAUCUUUAACAUUCAAGCAUGGAGGUCAACACGGAAUCCAAGCAAAAUUGGGUAUAAAGCACAAAAUCAGCUCACACAGUACAAAAGAGGGUCAGAUCUAAAUGGAAUAAGAAGCAUAAAUAAAAAGGAGGACGACGGCCCUGUGUUCACAUUGAGAACUCCAAACAACUACCUUUGUGAACUCUAAGCAUUGGUGGACAACACAUUACCUCCUAAUUAACGACAGAGGAAGAUCAAAUGACAAGGAAAGAACAAGAAAAGAAGGAAAAGGAAGGAAGAACGAUUACCUCUCAAUAGUGAAUGCCUUUGUGUGAGUUGUAGAGGACGGAGAAGAAAAGGUACAAAAAAGAAACAGAUCCACAAAAGGAGGCGGCGAAGUGUGAGGCUCUAGAGACUGUCGAAAGGAAACAUCUUGAAGCCAAU